UGGGGAAUCUUGCGCAAUGGGCGAAAGCCUGACGCAGCGACGCCGCGUGAGUGAUGAAGGCCUUCGGGUUGUAAAGCUCUGUGGGGAGAGAAGAAUUAGUAGAAGCUAAUACCUUCUAUGAUGACGGUAUCUCCUUAGCAAGCACCGGCUAACUCUGUGCCAGCAGCCGCGGUAAGACAGAGGGUGCAAACGUUGUUCGGAAUUACUGGGCGUAAAGCGAGUGUAGGCGGUCUCAUAAGUCGGAUGUGAAAGCCCUGGGCUCAACCCAGGAAGUGCACUCGAUACUGCGAGGCUAGAGUAUCGGAGAGGUUGGUGGAAUUCUCGGUGUAGAGGUGAAAUUCGUAGAUAUCGAGAGGAACACCGGUGGCGAAGGCGGCCAACUGGACGAAUACUGACGCUGAGACUCGAAAGCGUGGGGAGCAAACAGG
rnacentral:rRNA from 1 species